rnacentral:rRNA from 1 species
UAGAGGACUUGAGUAGGGCGGGACACGUGUAAUCCUGUCUGAACACGGGGGGACCACCCUCCAAGCCUAAAUACUCGUACAUGACCGAUAGUGAACCAGUACCGUGAGGGAAAGGUGAAAAGCACCCCGACGAGGGGAGUGAAACAGUUCCUGAAACCGGAUGCUUACAAACAGUGGGAGCUCAAGGUUCGUCCUGAGUGACCGCGUACCUUUUGUAUAAUGGGUCAGCGACUU